UACCAUGCAGUCGAGCGGAGAUGAGGUGCUUGCACCUUAUCUUAGCGGCGGACGGGUGAGUAAUGCUUAGGAAUCUGCCUAUUAGUGGGGGACAACAUUCCGAAAGGAAUGCUAAUACCGCAUACGUCCUACGGGAGAAAGCAGGGGAUCUUCGGACCUUGCGCUAAUAGAUGAGCCUAAGUCGGAUUAGCUAGUUGGUGGGGUAAAGGCCUACCAAGGCGACGAUCUGUAGCGGGUCUGAGAGGAUGAUCCGCCACACUGGGACUGAGACACGGCCCAGACUCCUACGGGAGGCAGCAGUGGGGAAUAUUGGACAAUGGGGGGAACCCUGAUCCAGCCAUGCCGCGUGUGUGAAGAAGGCCUUAUGGCUGUAAAGCACUUUAAGCGAGGAGGAGGCUACUGAGACUAAUACUCUUGGAUAGUGGACGUUACUCGCAGAAUAAGCACCGGCUAACUCUGUGCCAGCAGCCGCGGUAAUACAGAGGGUGCGAGCGUUAAUCGGAUUUACUGGGCGUAAAGCGUGCGUAGGCGGCUUUUUAAGUCGGAUGUGAAAUCCCCGAGCUUAACUUGGGAAUUGCAUUCGAUACUGGGAAGCUAGAGUAUGGGAGAGGAUGGUAGAAUUCCGGGUGUAGCGGUGAAAUGCGUAGAGAUCUG
rnacentral:rRNA from 1 species